UCCGUAGGGGGCGAUCGUUGUCCGGAUUUAUUGGGCGUAAAGAGCGUGUAGGCGGCCGAGCAGGUCCGUUGUGAAAACUGAAGGCUCAACCUUCAGAGGUCGAUGGAAACCGUUCGGCUAGAGUCCGGAAGAGGAGAGUGGAAUUCCUGGUGUAGCGGUGAAAUGCGCAGAUAUCAGGAAGAACACCCGUGGCGAAAGCGGCUCUCUGGGACGGUACUGACGCUGAGACGCGAAAGCGUGGGGAGAGAACAGG
rnacentral:rRNA from 1 species